rnacentral:rRNA from 1 species
UGGGGAAUAUUGGACAAUGGGCGCAAGCCUGAUCCAGCCAUGCCGCGUGAGUGACGAAGGCCUUAGGGUUGUAAAGCUCUUUUGGCGGGGAAGAUAAUGACGGUACCCGCAGAAUAAGCUCCGGCUAACUUCGUGCCAGCAGCCGCGGUAAUACGAAGGGAGCUAGCGUUGUUCGGAAUUACUGGGCGUAAAGCGCACGUAGGCGGAUUUGUCAGUCAGGGGUGAAAUCCCGAGGCUCAACCUCGGAACUGCCUCCGAUACAGCAAGUCUCGAGUCCGGAAGAGGUGAGUGGAAUUCCUAGUGUAGAGGUGAAAUUCGUAGAUAUUAGGAAGAACACCAGUGGCGAAGGCGGCUCACUGGUCCGGUACUGACGCUGAGGUGCGAAAGCGUGGGGAGCAAACAGGAUUAGAUACCCCAGUAGUCCCUGAGCGGGCUGGCAAGGCGCAU